rnacentral:rRNA from 1 species
AUUGAACGCUGGCGGCAGGCCUAACACAUGCAAGUCGAGCGGAGCGGCGGACGGGUGAGUAAUGCCGAGGAAGCUGCCUGGUAGAGGGGGAUAACGUCCGGAAAUGGGCGCUAAUACCGCAUACGAGAAGAUGAGUCUAGGUGGGAGUAGCUAGUUGGUGGGGUAAAGGCCUACCAAGCCGACGAUCCGUAACUGGGCUGAGAGGAUGAUCAGUCACACUGGAACUGAGACACGGUCCAGACUCCUACGGGAGGCAGAAGUGGGGAAUAUUGGAAAAUGGGCGAAAGCCUGAUCCAGCCAUGCCGCGUGUGUGAAGAAGGUCUUCGGAUUGUAAAGCACUUUAAGUUGGGAGGCGUUACCAACAGAAUAAGCACCGGCUAACUUCGUGCCAGCAGCCGCGGUAAUAC